rnacentral:rRNA from 1 species
GAUGAACGCUGGCGGCGUGCCUAAUACAUGCAAGUCGAGCGAACGGACGAGAAGCUUGCUUCUCUGAUGUUAGCGGCGGACGGGGGAGUAACACGUGGAUAACCUACCUAUAAGACUGGGAUAACUUCGGGAAACCGGAGCUAAUACCGGAUGAUCUUUUGAACCGCAUGGUUCAAAAGUGAAAGACGGUCUUGCUGUCACUUAUAGAUGGAUCCGCGCGGCAUUAGCUAGUUGGUAAGGUAACGGCUUACCAAGGCAACGAUGCAUAGCCGACCUGAGAGGGUGAUCGGCCACACUGGAACUGAGACACGGUCCAGACUCCUACGGGAGGCAGCAGUAGGGAAUCUUCCGCAAUGGGCGAAAGCCUGACGGAGCAACGCCGCGUGAGUGAUGAAGGUCUUCGGAUCGUAAAACUCUGUUAUUAGGGAAGAACAUAUGUGUAAGUAACUGUGCACAUCUUGACGGUACCUAAUCAGAAAGCCACGGCUAACUACGUG